AGAGUUUGAUCCUGGCUCAGGAUGAACGCUGGCGGCGUGCCUAACACAUGCAAGUCGAGCGAUUCUCUUCGGAGAAGAGCGGCGGACGGGUGAGUAACGCGUGGGUAACCUGCCCUGUGCACACGGAUAACAUACCGAAAGGUAUGCUAAUACGAGAUAAUAUGCUUUUAUCGCAUGGUAGAAGUAUCAAAGCUUUUGCGGUACAGGAUGGACCCGCGUCUGAUUAGCUAGUUGGUAAGGUAACGGCUUACCAAGGCGACGAUCAGUAGCCGACCUGAGAGGGUGAUCGGCCACAUUGGAACUGAGACACGGUCCAAACUCCUACGGGAGGCAGCAGUGGGGAAUAUUGCACAAUGGGCGAAAGCCUGAUGCAGCAACGCCGCGUGAGCGAUGAAGGCCUUCGGGUCGUAAAGCUCUGUCCUCAAGGAAGAUAAUGACGGUACUUGAGGAGGAAGCCCCGGCUAACUACGUGCCAGCAGCCGCGGUAAUACGUAGGGGGCUAGCGUUAUCCGGAAUUACUGGGCGUAAAGGGUGCGUAGGUGGUUUCUUAAGUCAGAGGUGAAAGGCUACGGCUCAACCGUAGUAGGCCUUUGAAACUGGGAAACUUGAGUGCAGGAGAGGAGAGUGGAAUUCCUAGUGUAGCGGUGAAAUGCGUAGAUAUUAGGAGGAACACCAGUUGCGAAGGCGGCUCUCUGGACUGUAACUGACACUGAGGCACGAAAGCGUGGGGAGCAAACAGGAUUAGAUACCCUGGUAGUCCACGCCGUAAACGAUGAGUACUAGCUGUCGGAGGUUACCCCCUUCGGUGGCGCAGCU
rnacentral:rRNA from 1 species